rnacentral:misc_RNA from 1 species
AACCAUAGAAACCUGCGGAGUACCUGCGGAGGGAUCAUUAUAGUAUAUGGAAUCUCCAUUCUAUAAACCCACUCUGCGUAUCUUGUAACUGUUGCUUCCAUGGGACUUGGUUCCGCCACACCGGCUUCACGGCUGGUGAGCGCCCAUGGAAGGAGAAACAAAACUCUUCUUCGAAAUGUAGUCAGUCUGAACAAGUUUUUAUAAACGUUAAAACUUUUAGCAAUGGAUCUCAGAUCGGAA